GGAUGUGAGUGCAACUGGCUUUGCCAUCUGUCCCCCCAUUGAUCUCCAGGGAUGAUUCAGGUGAUCUGGCUGGCUAGGUGAGCGUCCCCUUCCUCCCUCAGCGUUCCAUGCGCGUCCCUCCCAAAGUCAUGCUCUCGGUGGAAAUGGCUACACUGAAGACAACUAGCAGUACAUAUGCCACAUAGAGACUGUACCUUAUUUUCAUUUCA
rnacentral:snRNA from 1 species